GGAGGAGAAGUGAAAGUGAAAGUGAGUCUGUUAGUCGGUGUUGGAAACUUAGCGCCUUUCUCCGUAGAGUUUGUAGAGUUUGUGGAGUUUUGUGGAGUUCUCCCGGAAAGCCGUCCCCGUGUUGUGUGUCCACGCAGCUCUCCGCAGGUCCGGCACCGAGGGGGACCCCCUUUAGACCGCAGAGAGCCCACAGCGAGUCUGUGACAGAAAGGUUGCAGCAGGCCGUUAGCUGAGCCUCCACUUUCCUUCAGAGAGCAGGAGGAGGAAAGAGGAGCUGAGGCGGGACCCACUGAAGUCCAGAAGAUGAUGAUGGAGGAAGAGGAGGGCAGAGCAGAGCCUGCAGGAUCAGUUUGUCAGAGCAGGUCCAAAGCAGAUCCUCCAGGCUUAAGCAAGGAACCUGCAGCCACACUAGGUCAAAGGUCAGAGUCUGGGUCCUCCAGCUGUCUGUCUAUGAGGAGUGACAGGUCCAAAGGAAUACCACCAAACUUCAGUCAUGGACCCAGAGCAACAAUAGAGAAGAAGAGGAGCGGGG